GCAGCUUCGCGUAACUUAAGUUACGAGCCUUGCAAUACGCAAGAAUAUUCCAAAAUGUAAUUUUCUCGAUAUAAAUAUAAGAAAAGGCCUAACCAAUGUAUGAUAGAUGUUGUGACAACUAUCAAAAAAGGCGUUUAUAAAUACAGGCCGUUAUGUUUGUUUCAUAAAUUGUCUUGCAUACGGUUCUAAAUUUUCAUGAACACGUUAAAACAUUUCUUUGUAAUAAUCUCAACUGAAUAUCGAAGGGAAUUGUAAUUGACCAAGAAUUAAAAGUCUCAAAAUAGAGAUUUUUCAGUCUUAAACUGAUUUGGUUAAAACACUUUUCUCUACUUUUGAUUUGCAGUUUGGUGUAUAUGUAGUCUUUGAAGCGUGAGACAAUUUCGUUGGUAAAUGGGGGUAACGCUACUGUAAUUCUAGACAAAUCUUUUCAGAUUUUGUAUCUUGAAAUAUUAAUUCUCUCUUUUUUCAGACGCUGUUGAUAUUA
rnacentral:lncRNA from 1 species